rnacentral:rRNA from 1 species
UACGUAGGGACCGAGCGUUGUCCGGAAUCAUUGGGCGUAAAGCGCGUGUAGGCGGCUUGGUAAGUCUGCUCUGAAAGCCCGGGGCUCAACCCCGGGAGGCGGGUGGAUACUGUCAAGCUCGAGUCCGGAAGAGGAGUGUGGAAUUCCCAGUGUAGUGGUGAAAUACGUAGAGAUUGGGAAGAACACCAGUGGCGAAGGCGGCUAUCUGGGACGGUUACUGACGCUAAGACGCGAAAGCGUGGGGAGCAAAACAGGAUUGAGA